AUUGAACGCUGGCGGCAUGCUUUACACAUGCAAGUCGAACGGCAGCACGGGUGCUUGCACCUGGUGGCGAGUGGCGGACGGGUGAGUAAUACAUCGGAACGUGCCCAUGUUGUGGGGGAUAACUACGCGAAAGCGUGGCUAAUACCGCAUACGCCCUGAGGGGGAAAGCGGGGGAUUCUUCGGAACCUCGCGCAAUUGGAGCGGCCGAUGUCAGAUUAGCUUGUUGGUGAGGUAAAGGCUCACCAAGGCGACGAUCUGUAGCGGGUCUGAGAGGAUGAUCCGCCACACUGGGACUGAGACACGGCCCAGACUCCUACGGGAGGCAGCAGUGGGGAAUUUUGGACAAUGGGGGCAACCCUGAUCCAGCCAUGCCGCGUGAGUGAAGAAGGCC
rnacentral:rRNA from 1 species